ensembl:lncRNA
UCCUGAGCACUACAUCAGCACAAGCAGGGCUGGCUGCUCGCCCAUCGAUCUGCACGCAUAUCUGUCCGCAGCAACACCGGCAGCCCGCAGUGAGCAACGCCAGCACGAAACGCCACGGUGCUGGGGGAGCACCACAGCCUCGGAGGGAAGGGAUGUGACAUUGCAUUCAUCUUUGAGAGCAAACAAAUGGCAUCUUUAACUUGCAGAGGAGCCGAAGCGAAUCUGUGAGACAAACAGCAGUAAAAAUGCACGGUAGCUUUCCAGAUUUCUCAAAGCAAGCCUCAGCUAGACAGUGGAAAUGGCGAGAAUAUUUUAAAACAAAUGAGGACGUCGGUAACGCUGCUUCAUCUGCAUAGGGUUUUUGACUUUUUCAUACCCUGGUUCCAGUCAAAAGAUGAGAUCUGUCUGAGAACGGGUCAGUUACUGCACACCAUUACAAUAAAGGCAGAGGGGGCGAUUCCAGCAGAGGGGAAUUCUGCCCAAGCACACCGGUCAGUAAAUAACAGCAGGCUUUUUUUUUCCUAAAAAGGGUAGAUAUGUGUCAAGAGCAGAGUCUCUCCUUGCACACAUGGAGAUUCUUUUCAAAACAAGAAAAGUAAUCAAGAUCUUGCAUGUUACAAAACCGGUGUGUAACCAUUACAACCAAGCAGAAAUGAAUAAUGAAUUGAAUGCUAAUUAAAUACAAAUCACAGUUUGGAAGGAGUACAAACAUUCAGCAGCUUUUCCAUGCUCUUCUAGGAUUGCUUUGAAAAUCCCUUUCUCCAGUGUAUGGCCUUAUCUAGAAU